UACGGGGGGGGCAAGCGUUGUUCGGAAUUACUGGGCGUAAAGGGCUCGUAGGCGGCCAACUAAGUCGGAUGUGAAAUCCCCAGGCUUAACCUGGGAAUUGCAUCCGAUACUGGAUGGCUUGAAUCCGGGAGAGGGAUGCGGAAUUCCAGGUGUAGCGGUGAAAUGCGUAGAUAUCUGGAGGAACACCGGUGGCGAAGGCGGCAUCCUGGACCGGCAUUGACGCUGAGGAGCGAAAGCGUGGGGAGCGAACAGG
rnacentral:rRNA from 1 species